rnacentral:rRNA from 1 species
UACGAAGGGGGGCUAGCGUUGUUCGGAAUUACUGGGCGUAAAGAGCUCGUAGGCGGUUUGUCGCGUCUGCCGUGAAAGUCCGGGGCUCAACUCCGGAUCUGCGGUGGGUACGGGCAGACUAGAGUGAUGUAGGGGAGACUGGAAUUCCUGGGUGUAGCGGUGAAAUGCGCAGAUAUCAGGAGGAACACCGAUGGCGAAGGCAGGGUCUCUGGGCAUUAACUGACGCUGAGGAGCGAAAAGCAUGGGGGAGCGAACAGG